AUCAACAAAGGCAAUAAGGACAUGACAAAUACUUUAUUCAAACCAUCUAAUGGUGCAAAUGCCAGUUUUGAAUAACAAAAUACCAUAUUUAAGUUUCAUUGGAGAAGGCUAUCCUAUCAGGUAACAGGUUAGAAGAAUCAAGAAAGAGGCAGUAUGGUAUAGCUAGAAGACAAAUGGAAGUGGGGCAGAGUUCAAACUCUGUACCAUAGCCGAAUGUACAGAGGUUGCUGUUUCCUAUGAAAAGGGAAAGGAGCAUGAAAGCACUGCUCAAAACGUGCCAAGACAGGAAACAAAGUGAAGAUCAAGGAAGCAGCAACCAUCAAGAGCCCGUCAUGGAAAAUUAUAGGUAUUGGUUUGUACCAGCCCAUUGGCAUGGGGUGUAAACCUUCCAGCUCAUCUGGUCAUUAUCAAGGCAAGGCAAAAUUUGUGCGGUAUCUUUUUCAUUUGGUUCCAAUAUUUACAAAGAAUGGAAGUCAACCUCAAAACCAUAACUCUGCCCUCCAUACUGCACAUAAAGGUACUCUUUCGGAGAUGAGGAUGGGGCGGAAUUUGUAA
rnacentral:lncRNA from 1 species